AUUGUUCAGGUCUCUACUUGAAUGUUUACCACUUCUGAGUGUAUCUCAUGAUUGACUUCACAGAAGUAAAUUCUUGUGGGAUGUUUUAUUGAGACAGCAGAUCACUAAUCUCAGUUAGUCACUGUGUGCCCAGUAUUCUGCAGACAAACGAGAAGAUGAGAAGAUGUGUGAUCAUUUGAUAAGAGCAGCAAAAUAUCGUGACCACGUGACAGCAACUCAACUAGUCCAGAAAA
rnacentral:sRNA from 1 species